rnacentral:rRNA from 1 species
UACGUAGGGUGCGAGCGUUGUCCGGAAUUAUUGGGCGUAAAGAGCUCGUAGGCGGUGUGUCGCGUCGGCCGUGAAAACCUGCAGCUUAACUGUGGGCUUGCGGUCGAUACGGGCAUCACUGGAGUUCGGCAGGGGAGACUGGAAUUCCUGGUGUAGCGGUGAAAUGCGCAGAUAUCAGGAGGAACACCCGGGGCGAAGGCGGCCCUCUGGCUCGACCCUGACGCUGAGGCGCGAAAGCGUGGGGAGCGAACGGG